CUUCACUUCAUUUUAUUUCACUGAGCUUAGUGUCUUCAGAGCUGACCCAUGUUGUGCCAUGUGUCAGAAUGUCAAUUCUUUUUAAAGCUGAAUAUUCCAUUGUAUGUCCAGACCAGGUUUUGCUUAUUGAUAUCUUGAUGGACAUUGGGUUGCUUGCUUCUACGUUUUGGCUAUUGUGAAUAAAGCUGUUAUGAGCCUUGUGUACAAAUAUCUGAAUCCCUGCUUUUACUUGUUUUGGGUAUAUGCUGUGAUGUGGAAUUGUUAGAUCAUAUGAUAAUUCCAUGUUUAAUUUAUUGAGGAACCGCUAUAUAUAGCUGUUUUCUACCUUCUUGAUCCCUAUUGUAAUCACAUGACCAUAUCCUGGCUGAAGAGGGUGAGAUGCGGAUGAAGGGGCCUAAGGGGCUUCUCUCUCCGGGAUUGUCUUUGGUUAGAAUGUUCCUUUUAAUUGAUGAAUGAUGCCUGAGGAAAAAAUUCUUUGGCUUCAUGCUAAUGAAUUCCUGAAAGAAUAAAAGGCCCCAUAGUACUGAACUGUGGGAAUUGGGAUUUGAGCCUUAGGCAGCUGGUUAUGAGGAGUGCUGCUGGGUAGCAGACUCAGAUGCCACGCAUUGUCUUCAAAAUCCUCCCCCUCGGUUAAUGAGACACCAGCAAGAAACAGCGGUCCACGAGCGUGUCUUCCUGUGGACUUCCCAGUAUAAUGCAUCCGUACUCAUAAGAUACCCCCAGGUACGACCCUCAGAUGCAAGCAAUAAUGAGGCCAGACUCUGGGACAUGGUGCCACAGGUGUGGGUAUGGUGGGUGAGCUCAGCGAUAACCCCCUCCCAGGAGAUGCCACAGUGCCUGCCGUGCGCAGAUCUCCACCCCAGAGCUAACAGACCUCCGUCCCACAGGUUACAGGUGGCUUCCUGCCUUGCACACAGAAACACUAGGUACCCAGAGAACAUUUUCUGUUUUCCAGAACUUUCCAAAUUGCUGACUAUGUCAGUUGCUCUUACUGGACUUGUGCAGUGAGACCUAAGAAUUAAAAUCAAUUAGCCUCCGUGUUGUUCCAGCUAAACCAUGUGCUUGCAUCAUCUUUGGUUGCGCAAGAGGAUGUCACCCCCACCCCAGGCUUGGCCACCUCCCCAGCUGCAUCCAGCGACUGCACUCUGGGACUUGAGCUCCCCUCGGUUCAGUCCUUAGGAGAAGCUUGUGUAGAGAAGCAGAAUCAGAGAGGAUUAUCUGAAGGAUAUACAGUCCCUCUGUUCUUCUUAGAAACUCCAACAUUUACCUAUCCCUGGAUUAAGAGAGAUCAUCCAAAAAAAAAAGGAAUUCCUGGCUGACCCCUCAUGGAAGAAAUUUGCCUGCUGGCCUCCUUUGCGUGCUGCUGUAAUACACAGCCUUGCAAAGCCCCUUAUUCUCCGACCGCAGUCUUCACCCGUCCGCCGUAUGCGGUGCCUGCUGCGGACUCAUAUUUCCAGACUCCCUCCUGGUGCGGUGGCCGGACAGUCCGUGGCCAUUGAAGGUGGGGUCUGCCGCCUGGAGAGCCCGGUGAGCUGAGCCUUCCAGCGGACCCCGGAGCGUCGAGGGCAUCACCGAACCCGAGCUCCAUGGGCUUCUAACGAAGCUGGAUGUUUUACCUUCCUCAUUUCAUAACUUCUGUCGCAGCCUCUUGCGUCCGUCGCGACACUAGUGCUGCUGUAGUUAGCGCUUGGCGACACGCGGGUCUUGGGUGGGCGAGUGGGAUGCUGUGUGUGUGAGUGCGUGUGCGUGUGUGUGCUCGCUUCUUCAAUGAAUUAGAAACUCCUUCUUAUUAUGUAACCUCAGACCAGGAAUGAUUAAAUCAUCUUCCCAAAAUGUGUGCUUUAACUGUUUACAGGUAAAACCUAAAGUUGCAGGAAACGGUUGAUUUCACAAAGCGGUACGGACUGUGUUGAUGUAACAUGUAAUGUGUCUGAAACUGCAGAGUAAAUCUGCUUGUUGCAGUGAUUGACAGUGGCGUGCUCCUGAUCACAGUGCUAGUAACCAAGUGUUUUUAUUUGUUAGCCAGUUUAAGUGGAUCCUGUGGUGACUUAAACUGCUGUUCUCAUCCCUCAUAUGGGGCAUUUUUCUUUAACAAAGAAUGGUUUCAGUGAAACAAUCUAGCAGAGAAUUAAGGUCAGAACCUUUUUAAAUAAUAGUCUUAUUGAUAAAGUUUGUACUUCCUUCCUCAAGCUUUUCUAAGCUUAAAUCCUGCAUAGCUUCGAGCUGUGUGUACUGUAUUAUGAAAGAAUAUGUAAAGAGAACAUACAGUAAUGCAGUCCUUAAUCUGUGUAUAAUGGAAUGUUAUUUACAAUGUAACACUGUAAAUAAGAAAGCAAAAUUUAUGGGAAAAUUCAAUAUUAUCUUUGUUUCUUGUUUAAAUAUAUUUUUAAGAUAAAAGGCACAAAAAUAAAAGAAGCAUAUUACUGGAUAUAGGUGUGUGAUUCUCCUCUGACUAAUAAAUUAUCUUUUGAAUCCUA